GCACUGCUGAAGAGUCUCACAACAGGACGAAACGGCCGUUCAGUGC
rnacentral:hammerhead_ribozyme from 1 species